rnacentral:rRNA from 1 species
UCCCAGCCGUAAACGAUGCUCGCUAUGUGUCAGAUACGGUGCGACCGCAUCUGGUGCCGUAGGGAAGCCGUGAAGCGAGCCACCUGGGAAGUACGGCCGCAAGGCUGAAACUUAAAGGAAUUGGCGGGGGAGCACUACAACGGGUGGAGCCUGCGGUUUAAUUGGAUUCAACGCCGGAAAGCUUACCGGGUGAGACAGCAUUAUGAAGGUCAGGCUGAAGACCUUACCAGAUCCGCUGAGAGGAAGUGCAUGGCCGUCGUCAGUUCGUACUGUGAAGCAUCCUGUUAAGUCAGGCAA